UACGUAGGUGGCAAGCGUUGUCCGGAUUUACUGGGCGUAAAGAGCGCGCAGGCGGUCGUUCAAGUCGCGUGUGAAAGCCCCCGGCUCAACUGGGGAGGGUCACGCGAUACUGAUCGACUCGAAGGCAGGAGAGGGUAGUGGAAUUCCCGGUGUAGUGGUGAAAUGCGUAGAUAUCAGGAGGAACACCAAUUGCGAAGGCAGCUCGCUGGGACGUCACUGACGCUGAGACGCGAAAGCGUGGGGAGCAAACAGG
rnacentral:rRNA from 1 species